AAUUUGUGUCUGUUGGACAUCCCUUUCGUUGCAAUUGGUGUUUUUUUGGUGGGUUUGGUUGGCUCUGUCACGUAGCUUCUCUCCCUUUCAUUUACCAUAUUGGUGGUUCUUCGGUAGGGCUCGAGAUCUUAUCUAGUAUAUCUGAUUUAAGUCAGUAUCGACUCUCUCUCUCUCUCUCUCUCUCUCUCUCCAGAGUUCAUUGGAGCAACCAUGAAUCCUACCCUGUACAAUGCGGUCAUGGAAGGUAAAUUGGAUGUCCUCUGUCAAUACACUGAUGACCAACUCCAUGCCGAAGCCACCCACAAUAGAAACACAGUUCUCCAUGUGGCAGCCCAGUUUGGUCACUUGCCAUGCGUGGAAAAGAUCUUAGAAGCGUGUCCGUCGCUAUUAACCUUUGUGAAUGUCAAAGGCGAGACUCCUCUACAUAUUGCUGCCAGGGAAGGGUACUCCGAAAUAGUCCGCACAAUCAUAGAGAGCGCGAAAAAACUGGAGCAAGAUUCUGAAAGUGGCCGGGGUGCGACAACCAAAGAGAUUUUGAGGGCGACCAAUGUCGACAAAGACGCGGCCUUGCACAUGGCGGUGCGGAAUUGUCACUUUGAGGUAAACAAAUACUUGGAAGUUGUCAUAUUGUUAACCAAAGAAGAUGUGGACUUUGAAUAUCCCGCCAACGAUGCCAAGGAAACUCCAUUGUACCUGGCCGCUGAGCAAGGAGAACAAGGUGUGGACGUGUUGUCUACCCUCUUGUUAAGUACUUGCAAAUCGUCAGCAUACGGCCCUGGUGGUAGAACGGCAUUGCACAUGGCAACACUUCAAGACUUCACAGGUCAAAGCACAAGAAAAUUGCUGGACUGGAAGGUAGAUCUAAUCAACGAAGCAGAUCCAUACGGGUGGACGCCGCUUCACUAUGCCACGUACAUUGGGAAUGUAGCAGCAAUAGGAGAACUACUAGAAACCGAAAACUCAGCGGCAUACAUUGCUAAAGCAGACAAGGAAGAUGGGAACACAGCCUUUCACAUAGCGGCAGCUCAUGGCAAUGUCGAUGUAAUGAGAAUGCUUCUGUCGUACAGUCCAGAUUGUUGGGAGAUAGUCAAUUUUAAAGGACAGAAUGUUCUUCACAUGGCUGUGGAUACUGGAUACAGAGAGGGAACCGGUGAUUGACUUUAUCUUGAGUAACUCAUGGUUAAGGCAUCUUAUAAAUCAGAAAGACAAGGAAGGCAACACGCCUCUUCAUCUGCUUGCUGCUUCUGAUGACAUUGCAAACGAGCUAUGGCACCAAGAUAGAGCUGAACGACACGCUUUCAACAAGAAGAACGUGACCCCUAUGGAUGUAAAAUCUCCGAAUUCUAAGAAGGCUGGAAGAAUUAUAGUCCACAAUGCCCAGGAUAACAUAGCAAAAUGCAAGAAAACGGGUAGAGAUCAAAAGGGGAUGAGGAGAAGGAUCGAAGAAGCUCUGACGAAGAAGAAAAACGAAGAUGCCGACAGGAUGGCAAAAAUGGGUGAGAGCCACAUUAUAGUGGCAGCACUCAUAGCAACCAUCACCUUCGCAGCCGCUUACGCGAUCCCCGGUGGCUAUGAUGGCAACCAAGGUCGGGACCAGGGUAUGGCAGUCCUAUCAAGAAGGGCAGCUUUCAAAGCAUUCGCCAUAACCAACACCAUAGCCGUUGCAUCCUCUGUUUCCUCUUUACUUUUUUACAUAGCUGGAGGAUUUCUUCUCGUCGAAUCUGGCAACGUGGUUGCUCUGGCGAACGUCAAUUUAUAUGGCUUCAUACUUACUUUAAUAUCCCUUGUUGCAAUGAUGCUCGCGUUCAUCUCGGCCUCUUUUGUUGUGUUGGCACACUCUGUUGCCCUUCCCAUCGCCAUGUGUACUAUUUCUUGCGCCCCACUGCUCCUUCUUCUCUUUCCGUUCGCAUAUUGCUGUGUCAACAAGUUCAAGCAGCGGCUUAUGCAUGCGUAACUCUUGAUUAUGGACUCAAACCCACUCUAAAAUUAAUGGAGGGAUUUAAAACUUGUGUGAGGGCAUCUGGAGCUAAAUGGUGUAGUUUUCUUCUUCUUCUUCUUCCAUUUUUUUUUUUUUUUUUGUAUUUAUAAUUGUGGGCUAUGGAUGUAUUCUUGUAGUUUGCUUUGUCGAAUGGAUUCAUGAUUUGUUUUGGAUGUAUUUCGACUCUUAAA